rnacentral:rRNA from 1 species
CCUACGGGAGGCAGCAGUGAGGAAUAUUGGUCAAUGGACGCAAGUCUGAACCAGCCAUGCCGCGUGCAGGAAGACGGCUCUCUGAGUUGUACACUGCUUUUGUACGAGGGUAAACGCAGAUACGCGUAUCUGUCUGAAAGUAUCGUACGAAUAAGGAUCGGCUAACUCUGUGCCAGCAGCCGCGGUAAUACGGAGGAUUCAAGCGUUAUCCGGAUUUAUUGGGUUUAAAGGGUGCGUAGGCGGUCGGAUAAGUUAGAGGUGAAAUCCCGAGGCUCAACUUCGGAAUUGCCUCGGAUACUGUUCGGCUAGAGAGUAGGUGCGGUAGGCGGAAUGUAUGGUGUAGCGGUGAAAUGCUUAGAGAUCAUACAGAACACCGAUUGCGAAGGCAGCUUACCAAGCUACUUCUGACGUUGAGGCACGAAAGCGUGGGGAGCAAACAGGAUUAGAUACCCCAGUAGUC